GGACCCGCACAAGUAGUGGAGCAUGUGGUUUAAUUCGAAGAUACGCGCAGAACCUUACCAACACUUGACAUGUUCGUCGCGACUCUAAGAGAUUAGAGUUUUCGGUUCGGCCGGACGAAACACAGGUGCUGCAUGGCUGUCGUCAGCUCGUGUCGUGAGAUGUUGGGUUAAGUCCCGCAACGAGCGCAACCCUCACUUUUAGUUGCCAUCAUUAAGUUGGGCACUCUGAAAGAACUGCCAGUGAUAAGCUGGAGGAAGGUGGGGAUGACGUCAAGUCCUCAUGGCCCUUACGUGUUGGGCUACACACGUGCUACAAUGGUAUUUACAACAGGAAGCAAAACCGCGAGGUUAAGCAAAUCCCUAAAAGAUACCUCAGUUCGGAUUGCACUCUGCAACUCGAGUGCAUGAAGCUGGAAUU
rnacentral:rRNA from 1 species